UAAACGGCUCUUUUCAGGGCCACCUACAGAUCUCAGUCAAAAGAG
rfam:Callithrix jacchus chromosome 4, whole genome shotgun sequence